CGUGUAGGCGGUUUUUUAAGUCUGAUGUGAAAGCCCCGGGCUCAACCUGGGAAGUGCAUUGGAAACUGGGAGACUUGAAUACGGGAGAGGGUAGUGGAAUUCCUGGUGUAGGAGUGAAAUCCGUAGAUAUCAGGAGGAACACCGGUGGCGAAGGCGGCUGCCUGGACCGAUAUUGACGCUGAGACGCGAAAGCGUGGGUAGCAAACAGGAUUAGAUACCCUGGUAGUCCACGCCGUAAACGAUGAGUACUAGGUGUCGCGGGUAUUGACCCCUGCGGUGCCGCAGCUAACGCAUUAAGUACUCCGCCUGGGAAGUACGGCCGCAAGGCUAAA
rnacentral:rRNA from 1 species